rnacentral:rRNA from 1 species
AUUGAACGCUGGCGGCAGGCCUAACGCAUGCAAGUCGAGCGGAUGAUGGGAGCUUGCUCCUGGAUUCAGCGGCGGACGGGUGAGUAAUGCCUAGGAAUCUGCCUGGUAGUGGGGGACAACGUUUCGAAAGGAACGCUAAUACCGCAUACGUCCUACGGGAGAAAGCAGGGGACCUUCGGGCCUUGCGCUAUCAGAUGAGCCUAGGUCGGAUUAGCUUGUUGGUGAGGUAAUGGCUCACCAAGGCGACGAUCCGUAACUGGUCUGAGAGGAUGAGCAGUCAAACUGGAACUGAGAAACGGUCCAGACUCCUACGGGAGGCAGCAGUGGGGAAUAUUGGACAAUGGGCGAAAGCCUGAUCCAGCCAUGCCGCGUGUGUGAAGAAGGUCUUCGGAUUGUAAAGCACUUUAAGUUGGGAGGAAGGGCAGUCAGCGAAUACCUGGUUGUUUUGACGUUACCGACAGAAUAAGCACCGGCUAACUCUGUGCCAGCAGCCGCCGUAAUAC